rnacentral:rRNA from 1 species
ACGGAGGGUGCAAGCGUUAUUCGGAAUCACUGGGCGUAAAGCGUGCGCAGGCGGCCCUGCAAGUCUGAUGUGAAAGCCCCGGGCUUAACCCGGGAAGUGCAUUGGAAACUGCAGGUCUUGAGUACUGGAGAGGAUGGGGGAAUUCCCGGUGUAGAGGUGAAAUGCGUAGAGAUCGGGAGGAAUAUCAGUGGCGAAGGCGCCCAUCUGGACGGUAACUGACGCUGAGACGCGAAAGCGUGGGGAGCAAACAG